rnacentral:rRNA from 1 species
GAUUAAGUUAUUAAGGGCGCACGGUGGAUGCCUUGGCACUAGAAGCCGAUGAAGGACGUUACUAACGACGAUAUGCUUUGGGGAGCUGUAAGUAAGCUUUGAUCCAGAGAUUUCCGAAUGGGGAAACCCAGCAUGAGUUAUGUCAUGUUAUCGAUAUGUGAAUACAUAGCAUAUCAGAAGGCACACCCGGAGAACUGAAACAUCUUAGUACCCGGAGGAAGAGAAAGAAAAUUCGAUUCCCUUAGUAGCGGCGAGCGAAACGGGAAGAGCCCAAACCAACAAGCUUGCUUGUUGGGGUUGUAGGACACUCUAUACGGAGUUACAAAGGACGACAUUAGACGAAUCAUCUGGAAAGAUGAAUCAAAGAAGGUAAUAAUCCUGUAGUCGAAAAUGUUGUCUCUCUUGAGUGGAUCCUGAGUACGACGGAGCACGUGAAAUUCCGUCGGAAUCUGGGAGGACCAUCUCCUAAGGCUAAAUACUCUCUAGUGACCGAUAGUGAACCAGUACCGUGAGGGAAAGGUGAAAAGCACCCCGGAAGGGGAGUGAAAUAGAACCUGAAACCGUGUGCUUACAAGUAGUCAGAGCCCGUUAAUGGGUGAUGGCGUGCCUUUUGUAGAAUGAACCGGCGAGUUACGAUUUGAUGCAAGGUUAAGCAGUAAAUGUGGAGCCGUAGCGAAAGCGAGUCUGAAUAGGGCGUUUAGUAUUUGGUCGUAGACCCGAAACCAGGUGAUCUACCCUUGGUCAGGUUGAAGUUCAGGUAACACUGAAUGGAGGACCGAACCGACUUACGUUGAAAAGUGAGCGGAUGAACUGAGGGUAGCGGAGAAAUUCCAAUCGAACCUGGAGAUAGCUGGUUCUCUCCGAAAUAGCUUUAGGGCUAGCCUCAAGUGAUGAUUAUUGGAGGUAGAGCACUGUUUGGACGAGGGGCCCCUCUCGGGUUACCGAAUUCAGACAAACUCCGAAUGCCAAUUAAUUUAACUUGGGAGUCAGAACAUGGGUGAUAAGGUCCGUGUUCGAAAGGGAAACAGCCCAGACCACCAGCUAAGGUCCCAAAAUAUAUGUUAAGUGGAAAAGGAUGUGGCGUUGCCCAGACAACUAGGAUGUUGGCUUAGAAGCAGCCAUCAUUUAAAGAGUGCGUAAUAGCUCACUAGUCGAGUGACACUGCGCCGAAAAUGUACCGGGGCUAAACAUAUUACCGAAGCUGUGGAUUGUCCUUUGGACAAUGGUAGGAGAGCGUUCUAAGGGCGUUGAAGCAUGAUCGUAAGGACAUGUGGAGCGCUUAGAAGUGAGAAUGCCGGUGUGAGUAGCGAAAGACGGGUGAGAAUCCCGUCCACCGAUUGACUAAGGUUUCCAGAGGAAGGCUCGUCCGCUCUGGGUUAGUCGGGUCCUAAGCUGAGGCCGACAGGCGUAGGCGAUGGAUAACAGGUUGAUAUUCCUGUACCACCUAUAAUCGUUUUAAUCGAUGGGGGGACGCAGUAGGAUAGGCGAAGCGUGCGAUUGGAUUGCACGUCUAAGCAGUAAGGCUGAGUAUUAGGCAAAUCCGGUACUCGUUAAGGCUGAGCUGUGAUGGGGAGAAGACAUUGUGUCUUCGAGUCGUUGAUUUCACACUGCCGAGAAAAGCCUCUAGAUAGAAAAUAGGUGCCCGUACCGCAAACCGACACAGGUAGUCAAGAUGAGAAUUCUAAGGUGAGCGAGCGAACUCUCGUUAAGGAACUCGGCAAAAUGACCCCGUAACUUCGGGAGAAGGGGUGCUCUUUAGGGUUAACGCCCAGAAGAGCCGCAGUGAAUAGGCCCAAGCGACUGUUUAUCAAAAACACAGGUCUCUGCUAAACCGUAAGGUGAUGUAUAGGGGCUGACGCCUGCCCGGUGCUGGAAGGUUAAGAGGAGUGGUUAGCUUCUGCGAAGCUACGAAUCGAAGCCCCAGUAAACGGCGGCCGUAACUAUAACGGUCCUAAGGUAGCGAAAUUCCUUGUCGGGUAAGUUCCGACCCGCACGAAAGGCGUAACGAUUUGGGCACUGUCUCAACGAGAGACUCGGUGAAAUCAUAGUACCUGUGAAGAUGCAGGUUACCCGCGACAGGACGGAAAGACCCCGUGGAGCUUUACUGUAGCCUGAUAUUGAAAUUCGGCACAGCUUGUACAGGAUAGGUAGGAGCCUUUGAAACGUGAGCGCUAGCUUACGUGGAGGCGCUGGUGGGAUACUACCCUAGCUGUGUUGGCUUUCUAACCCGCACCACUUAUCGUGGUGGGAGACAGUGUCAGGCGGGCAGUUUGACUGGGGCGGUCGCCUCCUAAAAGGUAACGGAGGCGCUCAAAGGUUCCCUCAGAAUGGUUGGAAAUCAUUCAUAGAGUGUAAAGGCAUAAGGGAGCUUGACUGCGAGACCUACAAGUCGAGCAGGGUCGAAAGACGGACUUAGUGAUCCGGUGGUUCCGCAUGGAAGGGCCAUCGCUCAACGGAUAAAAGCUACCCCGGGGAUAACAGGCUUAUCUCCCCCAAGAGUUCACAUCGACGGGGAGGUUUGGCACCUCGAUGUCGGCUCAUCGCAUCCUGGGGCUGUAGUCGGUCCCAAGGGUUGGGCUGUUCGCCCAUUAAAGCGGUACGCGAGCUGGGUUCAGAACGUCGUGAGACAGUUCGGUCCCUAUCCGUCGUGGGCGUAGGAAAUUUGAGAGGAGCUGUCCUUAGUACGAGAG